UCUCCGAUGGUGCAGUGGUUAACAUAUCAGCCUGUCACGCUGGGGACCCGAGUUCAAUUCUCGGUCGGAGAG
rfam:Vittaforma corneae ATCC 50505 unplaced genomic scaffold supercont1.2, whole genome shotgun sequence.